rnacentral:pre_miRNA from 1 species
CCGCAUAAGGUGCCGGGGCAAUCCAAGCUCUGAGUUCUCUCAACUUCAGAGUUUUAUUGCCCCGGCUCCUUUUAUGA